rnacentral:rRNA from 1 species
GACGAACGCUGGCGGCGUGCUUAACACAUGCCAGUCGAACGGAAAGGCCCCUUUGGGGGUACUCGAGUGGCGAACGGGUGAGUAACACGUGAGUAACCUGCCCUUGACUUCGGGAUAACUUCAGGAAACUGGGGCUAAUACCGGAUAGGAAUCCUUGCUGCAUGGUGGGGGUUGGAAAGCUUCGGCGGUUUUGGAUGGACUCGCGGCUUAUCAGCUUGUUGGUGGGGUAGUGGCUUACCAAGGCUUUGACGGGUAGCCGGCCUGAGAGGGCGACCGGCCACAUUGGGACUGAGAUACGGCCCAGACUCCUACGGGAGGCAGCAGUGGGGAAGAUUGCACAAUGGGCGGAAGCCUGAUGCAGCAACGCCGCGUGCGGGAUGACGGCCUUCGGGUUGGAAACCGCGUUCAGCAGGGGCGAAGCUUGUGGUGACGGUACCUGCAGAAGAAGCACCGGCUAACUACGUG